rnacentral:rRNA from 1 species
UACGAGGGGGGCGAGCGUUGUUCGGAAUUAUUGGGCGUAAAGGGUGCGUAGGCGGUUCCGCAAGUCCUGUGUGAAAUCUUCGGGCUCAACUCGAAGUCUGCACGGGAAACUGCGGGGCUUGAGUGUGGGAGAGGUGAGUGGAAUUCCCGGUGUAGCGGUGAAAUGCGUAGAUAUCGGAAGGAACACCUGUGGCGAAAGCGGCUCACUGGACCAUAACUGACGCUGAUGCACGAAAGCUGGGGGAGCAAACAGG